rnacentral:tRNA from 1 species
GCCGAUGUAGCUCAGUCGGCUAGAGCAGCUGAUUUGUAAUCAGCAGGUCGUGGGUUCGAGUCCCUCCAUCGGCU